rnacentral:rRNA from 1 species
CCUACGGGAGGCAGCAGUGAGGAAUAUUGGUCAAUGGGCGCAAGCCUGAACCAGCCAUGCCGCGUGCAGGAAGAAUGCCCUACGGGUUGUAAACUGCUUUUAUUUGGGAAUAAACCUUUCUACGUGUAGAAAGCUGAAGGUACCAAUUGAAUAAGCACCGGCUAACUCCGUGCCAGCAGCCGCGGUAAUACGGAGGGUGCAAGCGUUAUCCGGAAUCAUUGGGUUUAAAGGGUCCGCAGGCGGACCUAUAAGUCAGUGGUGAAAGCCUACAGCUUAACUGUAGAACUGCCAUUGAAACUGUAGGUCUUGAAUUCGGUCGAAGUGGGCGGAAUGUGUAGUGUAGCGGUGAAAUGCAUAGAUAUUACACAGAACACCGAUAGCGAAGGCAGCUCACUAGGCCUGGAUUGACGCUCAGGGACGAAAGCGUGGGGAUCAAACAGGAUUAGAUACCCUGGUAGUCCACGCCGUAAACUAUGAUUACUCGUUUUCGGUCGAUAUACAGUCGGAGACUAAGCGAAAGUGAUAAGUAAUCCACCUGGGAGUACGAUCGCAAGGUUGAAACUCAAAGGAAUUGACGGCUAGAGAGACGACGACGACGACGACGGAGGAGGAGG